GAGAGAUGGCUGAGAGGUCGAAAGCACUUGUCUCGAAAACAAGAGAACGCACCGCGUUCCGGGGGUUCAAAUCCCCCUCUCUCC
rnacentral:tRNA from 1 species